UACGUAGGUGGCAAGCGUUGUCCGGAUUUAUUGGGCGUAAAGGGAGCGCAGGCGGUGACUUAAGUCUGAUGUGAAAGCCCACGGCUCAACCGUGGAAGGUCAUUGGAAACUGGGUCACUUGAAUAUAGAAGAGGAAAGUGGAAUUCCAUGUGUAGCGGUGAAAUGCGUAGAUAUUAGGAAGAACACCAGUGGCGAAGGCGGCUUUCUGGCCUGUAACUGACGCUGAGACGCGAAAGCCAGGGUAGCGAACGGGAUUAGAUACCCCGGUAGUCCCU
rnacentral:rRNA from 1 species